GGCUGUGAGUGUAUUUUUCAUCCGGGGCACGCAGGAAUGAAGGGAAGGAGGAGCUUAGGUUGGAGACUGGUCAGUGAUGGCCGAAGCAGAUUGAGGAUGCGGAGUGCCUGGGAAAGAGUGAUACCUUAAGAAAAGUACUGUGCACCUGCUUACAGAGUGACUUUUAGCAUCCUUCAUGGAGAAACAGUUCGAGACCCUUAGCCUGGCUAUGUUGGCAGCAGCUGCAGUUAAGUGGCUACAGCUGCAGGACCUCCAGGGCUUCCUAUGAGCAAGUCCUGCCAGUCAGUCAUCACGAGGCUGAGUGGAAGGAGAUCUGACAAAGAGAGAGUCAAAGGCUGCCCGCUUCCUGGGGCCUAAGGCUAGGAGAGCCCUCUUCCCUCCUGGUACACACCAGCCAAAGGCAUGUUCCUGGAUCAAGUGUCUAGCUGAUAAUGAAAGUCCCAACUCUGACAUUCAGAAACGGGGGAAAAUAUGACAAGUGGUCCUUCUUUCAGAGACAUGUUUCGCCAGGAUUAUCUCUACCUGAAUAAGGAUUGUGUUACAAUAGCUACUUAGUAUCAAGACGACAGACAGGAUGCAAUUUAAGAAUCUGAGGGCAUCAUUUGUGUAUUACUCUCACAUCAUGAAAUAGGCUGUGAAUAAACUUCCUUGGAUUUCUAGAAUGCCAAAUAGUACAUGAUAUUCAUCCAUUCAUCCUCAAAACUCUGUCCAGCAUUUGUUUUUUGUUUUGUUUUUUUGCUUGUUGGUUGGUUUGCUGGUUUGCUUGUCUGGUUUUCUUACAGUCUGGAGAAGAGACAUGAAAUUGCAGAACCCCAUGCUUCUCAGAUUUUCUGGGGUUAGCAAUGCUUGGGACAGAGUCGCCUCUUUCAGUUAUGGGUGUUGGCCAGUGUCCACCACCAGGAAAAAUGGCCACACCAUUCUAAGGGACCAGUAUUUCUAUAUUGUGCAGAAGCAGAAGCACAAUUUCACCUGGAUCUGCAGCUUGAACUGAAAGGAGUUACCCAGUGCUACCCGCCUCCCAAUGUUUUUGGUUGUUACAAACCUUAUCCCAGGUGGGACAGUGACUCUCUAAGCAGGUUUAAUAGCAAAAUACUGUGGCUACCAUACUUGAGAAAGUAGCUGAGAAUCAUUAUGGUAGAAAGAUGGCUCUAACCAGCUCCUCUAGCAAGCUGCCUGGGAAAGUAGGAAAGGAAUGCAUGACACUCUCCUCCUUGGGAUUUUAAGUUUUCAUCCUUUUUGAAUGUGCACAAGAGUCAUAAGAAUUUGAGUCAACACUAUCCCAAGAUUUCUAGGACUUUUCCAGAAGAGCAUUUGGCCUAGAACCCUGCUACUCCAAACUGCACUUCCCCUGUCUUCCUUAUCUCUUCUCUUUCCAGCUAGAGUUGCAGGAUAGAUUUGUGUUAAAACACUUGGUAAAUGAAGAUUAUAUUAAUAGAACAUCUCAGAGUUUUCAUUAUUUUAUUUUUUAAAAAAGCACAGAAUGAAUUCUUGAGUUUGAGCUCUAAAUGAAUGUGCUGGAUAGCUUUCAAGGCACCAGUGUAGGUCAGUCUAAUGAGUUUAUCCCAAAGUGGACUGAAAGUUUGUGGAAUCUGGUAUAUUGGAGGCUGUGCUGCAUAGAUUAUCUAAUCCAUCCCAUUAAAUUUUAUUUUUACACACAAAAUUCCCUUUUUAGGUAAUUAUCCAUUGUCAAUUUUCUUGCUUGUGGUAAUAAUUACUGGGCUCCUGUAUCACUGGAAAUACAACAGAAAUAUGUAACACAUUCUUUUAUGUAUUAUGCUCCUAGCCCUGCUUUUAAGUCUCAAGCAAAGCCUCUCCAUUCUAAAUUAACAUAUUUCCAUUCUUCCUUAAAGUGUGGUAGGUAUUUUUACUACUAAAAUAAAAUAUUUUAGUGGAAAUAUUUGC